CGAUCCUGUCCAUUUCAGACCUAUCCUGCACUACCAGAUCCUGUCCAUUUCUGCCCGAUCCUGCUAUGCCCAAUCCUGUAAAUAGUCCAGCCCGGAGUUCGGAGUUGCCGUCUGCUGAGAAGUAAGAUCGUUUGCGACAGAAUUGUCUCAUUAACUGUCAAUUUAUGUUUUUGUUUCACAAUCAGAUAAUAAUCAAGACAUCGAUGUGACUUGAAAGAAACAUCGCGAAAUUAAUGGUAAUUGUGAUAGAAACGAAAGCGGAAGUAAUAAAAAGUGGAAAUCCCGAUGAUCACCCUACUCAUCGAAGGUGGAGACAGCGCAAUGGAACCAGUCUUUACUUGAGAAUUGCAAAAGUUUGAGAAGGGCGAAGUCAAAGGUCAAGUUGAUAUAACACCAGGUGAUUUCCUCAAAGCCGUCAUCAAAAUGGUCAUCGUUUCCCGUUUCAUUCGCAACAGAACACGGAUCACAAACAGCAUUUGUCAAAGCCGCACUCAUCUCCAUCUUACGUUCAAAAGAGGUUACACUAGAAUACGAGCGGAUGGAUGUUUCUGAUUUGUGGCCAGAAACAGUCAUGAUGUCGCGUGAUUCAAAUUUAUCAAAAUCCAGAACAGAAAUUGAUGUAGCUCUAAUAGAAUGGUUGGUAUACACUUGCGAGAGUUUCGCUUGCUUGGAUGUGUUAGGCAUCAUUUGAGACAGCGUGUUUUUGCCAACAGACAUGGUCAUCAGUAUCAUCAAAUGCAUCUUUAGGACGUUGCCAUAAAUCAUUAUUCAUGGGAUGAAGCUUCGAGAUGUAUUUCUUGUAUGCAGCAACAGGACAUAAAGGGUGAUCUGCAAUGACAAAAUUUAAUGGUCCUUAAUUUGGGCCUAUAACAUUG